AAGUCGUAACAAGGUUUCCGUAGGUGAACCUGCGGAAGGAUCAUUACCAAAUCCAAAACUUUAUCAACCCCUAUUGUGCACCGAGAAUGGUUCCGUUCCCUGUCUUCUUUUUGGGCAGGCAGGGAAUGUAUUUUUUUUUACAACACCUUUUCAACCAUUUUUCAACAACCAAUAUGCUGAACGCAAAACAAAAACGAAACAUGAGACAACUUUUAACGGUGGAUCUCUUGGCUCGU
rnacentral:misc_RNA from 1 species